GCGACUGUAGCUCAAUUGGAUAGAGCAUCGGUCUACGAAACCGAAGGUUGAUGGUUCGAGCCCAUCCAGUCGCG
rnacentral:tRNA from 2 species